UAAGUGUUUGGACAAGAGUUAUUCUUUAUAUAAGACCUUUGAUAUGUGCUCAAUAAGGUCUUAUAUUUUGAGCUAAAAUUUACAAAGCUUAGUCAACUAAAGUAUUAAAUCCAAUAAUUUUUUAGAAAAGAUAAAGACCAUUCAGGUUGUGAAAUACCAUCCAGUACAUGGUCAUACCAUCCUAAAAAACACUGAUAAUAGGAAGCUAUAGUGUCAUAAAGUACAGAAUCGUACAGGUAAGAAAAUUAAUCAUGUCUGGGAGAUAAGAAAAAAAUCAAAUAGUUAUCAUCAGCCUCUUGCACACCAAAUUGAUCUGCUUUUUUUGUUGCACCUGAGACAAAUCUCUUUACAUAUAAACAUUGAUUUCAAACCAUAUGAGCUUUUCAAAGAGACACGGUUCCUCAAGCAGUGUAAGUGCUGCAAAAUGAAAAUUCAGCAUGUCAGGAUCAAGCCAAAGGAUAAGAAAAUGCAAAAACAUAAGUCUUUUGGGUAUCCAAAAACCAUGGUAGCUUCAAGUGCUACCAGAAAUAGGUUGAGCCUGUUCAAAAACAGUGGGAUAUAAUCGGUUUCCAGUAAGUGGCACAAAGUUCCUGAUUGCCUUGCCCACUAAUUUGUGUUGAGGAAGCAAGCACAAACCCGUACAAAUGCAUUAUUGUUACAUGUGUUCUAUCGGUAUCGCAAAAAAUUAAACCAUGUACGACAACCCUCUUUAAAAGUUCUCAUAUUAAUCCUGGUUGUGGCCAUUUGUGGGAACAUGAUUUAGAAUAUUUAAUAUCCUAGAAGUUUACAACAAAUGAAGCUCAUAUUUUUAUUUUUUUGACAACUACGAUUGUAGUUAUAUCUGAUCAUGCUUGAGGCUCAUAUUUGAUUUCCUACCCUGCAAUUUACCUCUAGAUAGGAAAAGAGGAUACUAUUCAUCAUUGCGAAACUGCCAUGCAAAAUUAUAUGAGAUGACUACAAAAUAUUUUUCUAUGAUCAGACCCUGCGCAAGCGGGAGCUACAUGCACCGGGGUGCCUUUUUUUUACUCUGGAUUAUACGGAUAUAAAACUGGAAGGGUAACCACACGAAAAGAGAAUUUGGCUUUAAACGUUUGCAUAUAGUAUUCUUCUUUGGCAUGAAAGCUACUCCAAAGAGUAGUACGUAACAGUUAAAUGAGUAACCCUUAGAUGAAAAUGUAGUCAGAGCAGCCAUUUUAAACACUUGCAACAUGACCAAUGUGUAGUCUAAUUUCGUGAGCGGUCUAAUUAUCUCUCGGACAGUCCACAACAAAUUCAAACUAAUUCACAACUGAGAAUUAGCAGAUAACAAUAUUUGCUGCUACAAUAUAUUGGACUGAACUCAAACAAUAAGUGUUUUUUCUUCUUUAAAUACAGUUGGUAUUUUCAUGCAACAUGGAUGAAAUGAUGAAUAGAUUAAUUCAGCGUUGAGAUCAUAAUGAAGCUUGUUGAGGAAAUAGAUAUUUGGACAUUACAACUACAUUUGUGUAUCCCUAAAAUACUUGGGAAAAUCAAAAUCUUCAAGACGUACUAAAUCUAUCUUUUCACCCUUGAGAUCAUAAUCCACAUAUUAUCCCAUAUACAAUACACAUUUGUUGAUCACAGUUAUAAUUUAGAUAGUGAGCACCCAACAAAACUAAUUCAAUAGGUAGCUCCAAACUGAAAACUAAAAGCAAAACAUAAUGCGUACAUCUUUUAGGAAACAAUUGGGUAGAAACAAUUUAGUUUUGUUAAGUUUGAUGUAAAUCUUUUUGGAAGGACUCCAUAUCAUGGCUCCUGAGAUCUGAGAAAUUUCGACUUUGUGAACCCAAGCUUUGGUUUUGAGGCAUUAUGUAUCUCAUUAAUCUGUAUUUAUUUUUGUAUCUGACGUGAUGUUUCUGUCAAUACCAAGGCGUCCUGUGGUGACUUGGGGUCAAUCUAAAGCUUAGCUAAUCCAUCCUAAAGUAGAAUUUUACUUGGAAAUAAAAGAAUGGAUAAUCACAUAAGAGGUACAUGGUCAUGCAGAUAUUUGUUGCACCAACAUGACGAUAGCCUAAAAACAGAAGGACCUCCAUAAUCUAAUUACACUAAAUCACAAUCAUAUAACUGACACAUACUGAGCCAAAAAAUAAUAUUAUACAUACUUGAUUUGCAAAUUGCAAAUAUCAAUACAAAUCAUAUUAUAAAUACACAAUAUGCAAAGAACAGUAAGGAGCUGCGGAUGGCGCAUAGUAUUUUUUCGAUUUACUAUUUAUUAGAUUUUAAUAUAAAAGACAGAAUAUCAUGUUACUUUCUACAUGGCCUUUUUUGCAAAAAAAAAAUGGUUUUUUAUAUAUAAUUCACAGUAAAUGUUUUAGGACCUUAGGGAGACACUGCAAAAUGAAAAUUCAGCGUGUCAGGAUCAAGCCAAAGGAUAAGAAAAUGCAAAAACAUAAGUCUUUUGCGUAUCCAAAAAGCAUGGUAGCUUCAAGUGCUACCAGAAAUAGGUUGAUCCUGUUAAAAAACAGUGGGAUAUAAUCGGUUUCCAGUAAGUGGCACAAAGUUCCUGAUUGCCUUGCCCACUAAUUUGUGUUAAGGAAGCAAGCCUUGGCGCAGUGGUAAAGCUGCUGCCUUGUGACCAUGAGGUCAUGGGUUCAAGCCCUGGAAACAACCUCUUACAGAAAUGUAGGGAAAGGCUGCGUACUAUAGACCCAAAGUGGUCGGACCCUUCCCUGGAUCCUGUGCAAGCGGGAGCUACAUGCACCAGAUUGUCCUUUAAGCAAGCACAAACCCGUACAAAUGCAUUAUUGUUACAUGUGUUCUAUCGGUAUCGCAAAAAAUUAAACCAUGUACGACAACCCUCUUUAAAAGUUCUCAUAUUAAUCCUGGUUGUGGCCAUUUGUGGGAACAUGAUUUAGAAUAUUUAAUAUCCUAGAAGUUUACAACAAAUGAAGCUCAUAUUUUUUUUAACAACUAAGAUUGCAGUUAUAUCUAAUCAUGCUUGAGGCUCAUAUUUGAUUUCCUACCCUGCAAUUUACCUCAGAUAGGAAAAGGGGAUACUAUUCAUCAUUGCGAAACUGCCAUGCAAAAUUAUAUGAGAUGACUACAAAAUAUCUUUCUAUGAUCAGACCCUGCGCAAGCGGGAGCUACAUGCACCGGGGUGCCUUUUUUUACUCUGGAUUAUACGGAUAUAAAACUGGAAGGGAAACCACACGAAAAGAGAAUUUGGCUUUAAACGUUUGCAUAUAGUACUCUUCUUUGGCAUGAAAGCUACUCCAAAGAGUAGUACGUAACCGUUAAAUGAGUAAUCCUUAGAUGAAAAUGUAGUCAGAGCAGCCAUUUUAAACACUUGCAACAUGACCAAUGUGUAGUCUAAUUUCGUGAGCGGUCUAAUUAUCUCUAGGACAGGCCACAACAAAUUCAAACUAAUUCACAACUGAGAAUUAGCAGAUAACAAUAUUUGCUGCUACAAUAUAUUGGACUGGACUCAAACAAUAAGUGUUUUUUCUUCUUUAAAUACAGUUGGUAUUUUCAUGCAACAUGGAUGAAAUGAUGAAUAGAUUAAAUCAGCGUUGAGAUCAUAAUGAAGCUUGUUGAGGAAAUAGAUAUUUGGACAUUACAACUACAUUUGUGUAUCCCUAAAAUACUUGGGAAAAUCAAAAUCUUCAAGACGUACUAAAUCUAUCUUUUCACCCUCGAGAUCAUAAUCCACAUAUUAUCCCAUAUACAAUACACAUUUGUUGAUCACAGUUAUAAUUUAGAUAGUGAGCACCCAACAAAACUAAUUCAACGGGUAGCUCAAACUGAACACUAAAAGCAAAACGGAAUGCGUACAUCUUUUAGGAAACAAUUGGGUAGAAACAAUUUAGUUUUGUUAAGUUUGAUGUAAAUCUUUUUGGAAGGACUCCAUAUCAUGGCUCCUGAGAUCUGAGAAAUUUCGACUUUGUGAACCCAAGCUUUGGUUUUGAGGCAUUAUGUAUCUCAUUAAUCUGUAUUUAUUUUUGUAUCUGACGUGAUGUUUCUGUCAAUACCAAGGCGUCCUGUGGUGACUUGGGGUCAAUCUAAAGCUUAGCUAAUCCAUCCUAAAGUAGAAUUUUACUUGGAAAUAAAAGAAUGGAUAAUCACAUAAGAGGUACAUGGUCAUGCAGAUAUUUGUUGCACCAACAUGAUGAUAGCCUAAAAACAGAAGGACCUCCAUAAUCGAAUUACACUAAAUCACAAUCAUAUAACUGACACAUACCGAGCCAAAAAAUAAUAUUAUACAUACUCGAUUUGCAAAUUGCAAAUAUCAAUACAAAUCAUAUUAUAAAUACACAAUAUGCAAAGAACAGUAAGGAGCUGCGGAUGGCGCAUAGUAUUUUUUCGAUUUACUAUUUAUUAGAUUUUUAAUAUAAAAGACAGAAUAUCAUGUUACUUUCUACAUGGCCUUUUUUGCAAAAAAAAUGGUUUUUUUAUAUAGAAUUCACAGUAAAUGUUUUAGGACCUUAGGGAGACACUCGUGUUAACAGACCUAGUAAAUAAAUAUGCAUAUAAGGAAAGAAACAGCAAUGGCUACCACAUGGAAACAUGUGGAGAGAUAUCUAUACAUAAGAAACAAAAAUGACUUAUGUACCAUGGCUAUUUCACGGCCAUAACAAAAAGGAAGUGAAACAGAAGAACUUCAAUACGUACAGCAGUACUAUUAGAGUUGACGAAGGGCUGGUGCUGCUUACUGUUUUCCUGCCGGACGAUUCGUGCUUGCGGAUGUUGAUGUUAACCUCAAUCUGUCUGCAAGUUUUUCUUUAGUUUCUCUUAUUUCUUCAGUAGCUGCAUAAGCAAUCACAUGUGUCUUUGAUCUGAAUGUUUACUGUAGCCAGAAUCUUGCUGCGUUCCUGCUGUGGCCCAGACCUAAUUUUAGCUUGUUUAAUUAGCGUUUGACCCGGCACAAUCUGGGCUCGUGGGAUGGCACACGCAACUAUUGGAUUGUGGCGAAUUUCCCGUUGGUUCAGUUAAGCGAUGAAAUGAAAGGAAAGACUAAAAAUGAAGCAAGUUUUGGCAUGGAAAAAGCCUUUCUCUAUGACUGAAUUUCUGUUCUCUGUUUCCUUCAACCUCAUGUGUGUGUGUUGUGUUCUUUAGAAAUAAAAUUCAGAUAAAAGAGAGCAGAUAAGUGAUGAAAACUGACAGUGGAAUCAUUAAUUGAAAACUACAUAUUAGAUCAAUGAAUUUUGGGGUCGCCAAACUGCUUCAUAUAUCUUCGUGAACCAUGAGAAAAUGUACGGAAUAAAAAUAGCUUCAGUUUGCCUAAUUAAUUUUUGGACAGGGCGUGGUCUAGUAAUAAUGAUCAAACGUCAAGUAUGUUGAGGACAGACAUAGUCACCUAUGUCAAACCUUCAUGAUUCAUGGCAUUGCCUGUAUAUGUAUUAGAUUGGGUCACGUUCUUCAAGGUCUGCAACAUAGAUCGGGGCUGGGUAGAAGAGGACAUGGAGAGGUGGCAGAGGAGGGAGAUCGUGGAUGGGUGGAAGAGAUGGGGAAGAGGUGAGAUGGAAAUAUUUUUUUUCAGGGAGAGGCCUAGAAGGAACUUUCUCAUGUGGGAUAGUUCGUAGGGACUAUGAUGGAUUUCAUCCGACGGCUCCAGAGAUGCAACUCUAAGAUCGGAUGGAUGAUUUUGUUAAUUUUCUAGGAUUAACAUGGUGUCUCGAUUAGUGCUUCCAAUUAGUAAAUAUAUAAUGUAAGAUGUAUUGUGAUUUAAAAAUUAACGGAAUGCCACCGAUUGAGAUGGUCAUCCAUACCCUCUUGUGGUAAGAAACAAAAAAGGUAUAAAGGCCUACUUUUUCAAUUUGGAUUCCCAAGAAAUAAAUAUGGUUCUACCCGAACAAAUUGACACCGGUGAUCCAACAAAAAAGGAAGAUUCGUUCAAGUAUACAUAAGCUAAUUGCGGUAGUUCUUGCUGUUGUACACCAGGGCAAGAAAGAACCUGCCGAGACUGCCCAAAUAUCAAGCUGAAAAUACCUUAUUCUUUAGUCUAUAGGCCAUAGCUGUAAAUUCCAAAUAUUAAAGGCUAUUUGAUAAAACUGUAGAGAGCAACCAUUACAUACAAUUGCAAAUUGAUUUCCUAUGAACAUGACCUCAAGACUCAAGCCAUAAAUUGAUUUGAUGGGUUAGAAAAUAGAAAACGAAAUUUCAGAAUUCGGAUUACCCUCUUAUUGACUGAUGAUGAAUUGACCUAGAACAAUGUUCAUGUCCAGAGAGCUGCUGCGCCCGUCUCUUGUAGUAGCUCCACUCGGCGGCCUCACCAAUGGUCGUAAUUUGACUGACAUCGGUAUGCCUCAUCCACUUCAUUAACCAUUUUUAUCUCUGUUAGCCUAAAUUGAACUCAUUAGAAGCCAUCAUGAUCACUUCAUCUUCCUUUCAUACUAAGUAAACCAAUCAGGCAUCCCAAGCUGAGCAACAACAACGAAUUUUAGGCCUUAUUUAGCAGCAAUAAUAUGCAAAAUUAGCACUGUUCAGCUAGAGCACUACUUAAAAGCAUGUGAACAGAUCUCAGUACUCCAAAAUUAUUAUUAACAGGUCUGUAACAUGGAUGUUUGUACAGAACCUAUCUGCAGUCUGCAAAUUAUCAUCUUCCAGAAAUUUGUCCAAACACACAAUUAGCAAAAGUUAAGAUAUAGGCCUUUUGCAGGUAAGAAUUGAAGGCAGCACAAACUAAUACACAUGGAAACUUUCAAUCUUCACUGAACUAUUUAGGUUUAGCCACCCUGGGCCGCCUAAUGGUUGCAGGUUGAACAUGACGCUGCUCCCUGGGAGGCUUCUAUAAUCCAAUCAGAGUAGAGAAGAAGUUCUACUCAUAGAUUUAAGAGUAAUCUUACCUCUAGAGGUACAACAAAGCAGAGUUUUCAUGGAUCUAGAAACAAGAAGCAGUGGAGUACGCAUCUAGAUCCAUGAAAAGACGGCCGUGUGGCCGGCUGGACUGUGCAGCAGGGGUACAGAAAGGGGCCUCGCAUGAUUGGGGUGCAACAGCGAGCUAGCCGCUACCGUAGGAGGCCGGCGUAAGAUCGAGAAAGAGGAUGGCCACCGGAGAUAGCAGGACCAUGGUCUGCUGGAGGGAGGACAUGGUGAUUGAGGUCAUGAGGGACAACCUAUGCGUGGAAAGCGUG
rnacentral:lncRNA from 1 species